rnacentral:lncRNA from 10 species
AUGCAAAAAUAUUGCAUCUACCAGCAUUUUCAGUUCCAAUUGCUAAUCCAGCAUUUGUGGAUAGCUGCAAACUGCGAUAUAUGGGCCAAGGUUGCUCGGGUGAUUGGUUUACUGGCUUCGCACAAAACUGAUCUCCAGGAAAAUACACCUGUUGUUGAGGCCUUCCCUAACAGUCCCAGAACUCCUACAUUGCCUGGUGUGCUGACCUAAAGCCCUCAUUAAGACCAGUAACAAAUCAAGCCUAUCUUAUCAACUGACAACACAUUCUGGAACCAUGGCGUGUCCAUGGAUAAGACAUGAAGUCCUUCUUUCAAGACUUGGUUUUCUGGUACUGGAAAAUACCAAUAUGGAUAAAAGACCUUCAAAGCUGCUACGAUGGGUAAGGAACAAUGCACACAGUAUACCAUUAAGGCAAAGAAGAUAGUCUUAAUCCUGUAUGAAAUGCCAAUGAAGAUGUAAUUAAUGAAUAGACAUUUCAUUGAAAUGAAAUCAAAAGACAUUUUCCUUCUCUGACAUAACAGAGUAGAACUCUCUAGUAAGAACACAAAACUGACCAGCCUGACCAAUGUGAUAAAACCCCCUGUCUCUACUAAAAAGACAAAAAUUAGCCAUGCAUGGUAGCAGAUGCUUGUAAUCCCAGCUACUCAAGAGGCUCAGGCAUGAGAAUCUCUUGAACCCAAAAGGUGGAGGCUGCAGUGAGUCGAGAUCGCACAACUGCACUUCACCCUGGGCGACAAAGCAAGACUUUGUUUUUUAAAAAAAAGAAGAAGAAG